GGAGCCACACGUUAAAUGUUCGACUCGUCGCAGUCGGGGUUUAACAACUGCACAGUUUGAAUAGCUUUGCGAUUCUUUGCGAGUGGCACUUUCCUUUACACUAUUGGAGAUGCAGAAUACCUGGGUAAAAAUGCUGUAUGUCGUGCCACUCGCAAAGUUUAUCUGUCACUCAAACAGUUUUUAGGGGGCUUUGUGGUAUUUCCAUGCCACUUAAGACCACAGGCUGUGAAGCAGAUUUUUUUUGCCAUUGCAGGUACAUUAUAAUUGUUAAUGAAGAUCAUGGAAUCAUGAUCAUGCCAAAAAGUAGCCUAGGACUUACAGUAUUUGUUCCUCAGGCUUCCCUAAUGUUAUUUGUGCCAUAGACUGCACACAGGUCCCCAUCAAGGCCCCACCUGGCCCAAAUGAAGGGGAUUUUUUGAACAGAAAGGGAUUUCACAGUGUAAAUGUGCAAGUAAAUUACUAUAACAAUUAUUCAUAUUCCAGAUAAGCAAUAAAUAAAUAAAAGUAACGUAAUCAAAAAGUAUGCAGACUGAUUUCAAAUAUUUUAGAUGGUGUGCGACUCCAUGUUCCACAUCACAAAUGUGGAAGCCACAUGGCCUGGUUCUGUGGGUGACUCCAAGAUUUUCAGAGAGUCACAUUUAUGCACAUUAUUUGAACGUGGUGCUGACGAUGGGAUCCUGUUUGGCGACAGGGGCUAUGCCUUCAGGCAGGCAGUACUUCAUGACACCAUUCCCUGGACCACAAACCCGUUACAAUGCAGCUCUAGCCAGGACAAGGCCACGCAUUGAAAUGACCUUUGGCCAACUAAAGGAAGAUUUCAGUGUCUUAAGGGUCUGAGGGUUGCACCUGGAGAGGACCCCUGUGGUGGAGGUGCAGCCUGAUGAUGACCUCCAGCCAGUGCACUUGGACCAAUAGUGGCAGAGCUGCACAGGACAGUAUUGUGGAACACGAUUUUAUGAAUUCUUUUUUUUACACAUAAACUUUCAUUAAAUGAAUAAUAGAAGACAACA